rnacentral:rRNA from 1 species
UCGCCUAUUAAAGGAGAUCGUGAGCUGGGUUUAGACCGUCGUGAGACAGGUCGGUUACUAUCUGUUAGGGGUGUUUUGAGGUCUGAAGGUAAGUUGCUUUUAGUACGAGAGGAACAGAGCAACGGCGCCUCUGGUCGAUCGGUUGUCCGACAGGGCACUGCCGAGCAGCUACGCGCUAAGGGAUAAGGGCUGAAAGCAUCUAAGCCCGAAACCCGCCCUGAAAAGAGACCUCUCUAAGGACAUGGGUAGAAGACCCGUUUGAUAGAGUCGGGGUGUAAGCAC